rnacentral:tRNA from 3 species
GGGGCUAUAGCUCAGAGGCAGAGUUCUUGCAUGGCAUGCAAGAUGUCGGCGGUUCGAUUCCGCCUAGCUCCA